UGACAAUGAAAGAUAGAGAGAGAGAGAGAGAGUGCUGGAGGAACGCAGCGGGUCAGGCAGCAGCUGGGGAGCGAUAUGGACCGGCGACGCUCCGGGAUGGGACUCUUCAGAGAAAGUUAGCUCUACCAGAGUUUGGAUAUAUCUGAUUUGACCUCAUCUCAUGGCUCAGUUAUAGCUGGUAUUUCUCAUCCAAGGAACAGACCUGUCUGGGGGUCCCAGGAUGGAGGAUGCAAAAAGAGCUCAGGUUAAACUCCAUGUCCAAGGCACUUCAAUUAGACCCACUCCCACCUUCUGGUCUGUGGGGAGCAACCUGAGGAACAUCCACAGCCCAAGGCUCUGAAGGUCAGCGGUAUCAGUGAUUUGUGACCUAUCGCCUCUCACCCACACUCAGCUCUCACAGCAAAGGUCAGGUUCACCUUGAAUUUCUUGGCUCCAGUUUAUGACAAUCUACCAGUUUAAUCUAUGCUACAU